UCUCCUGGCAUCCCUCCCAGCUAAGCAAGCAGCUCCACUUGAGUCUCCGGGAAAAUGCCUGCCUCUCUGGCUCUCAUUAUUCAGAUGCUAAGACAUUAGGGUUUCCAGAAACAAAAGAGUAUUACAAUUAGAAGAGUGAUCAUGGCCUUCUGGGCCCUGUUUCCUUUUGAGACUGGAAAAAAUGAAGAAUGAUGUCACUGUUAGCAAAUCCUCCAGAACUCUUCAAUAAGAGAUGACAAUUCUUUCCAUACCCUUCCUACCAAUACUCCAGUUCAACCUCCCCCCCACCCUAUCCCCAGGAUCUUCCUCCUGAUCAAAACCACCCAAAUUCCAAGAGCUGAAUUGUUUUUGACAACCCCAGUGGCAUGAUCAAGGCAUUAUGGGUUAGAGAAACUCAACAUCUGAGAAUUCUGCGUACCAGGAUGUUCCAACAGCCUUCCGUACUUGAUCUGUAUUUAUCCUCAUAACAAUUUAUGGGAGAAUUACUGUCCUACUUUCACAGCUUGAGGACACUGAGACUCCAAAACAUUAUUCACUCACAGUCCCAUAACUAAUGCAAAGCAAACCUUGGAUUUGAACCCAGGCACAUCAUACUCAAAACAACAUUGCUUGAACAACAUGGAAGUCAAGGAUGGUCAUCAAUUCCCAGGGACCCAGCUAAUAUCUUCCCUGUUUGUCAAAGUCCUUGCUGAUAUUCUUAGUAGUCUCCUGCUUCAGAGACUCUGUCCUCAAUUAGUAAAGACUUGCCUGUAAGCAUCCCCUAUUCUUUAAGAUUUGGAGCUUAAAUUCCAAAAGUAACCAAUUGUGCCAUCCAAUUUGUCAUUCCCAAAUCAUCUGUCCCUCCUGGAGCAAUAAUUGUGUAUUAGUAAUAAAUAAAAUGAGCCACGAACCAA